rnacentral:rRNA from 1 species
GACGAACCGAGCGAACGUUGUUCGGAAUCACUGGGCUUAAAGGGCGCGUAGGCGGCAAUUCAAGUCAGCUGUGAAAUCUCCGGGCUUAACUCGGAACGGUCAGCUGAUACUGCUUUGCUAGAGUGCAGAAGGGGCAAUCGGAAUUCUUGGUGUAGCGGUGAAAUGCGUAGAUAUCAAGAGGAACACCUGAGGUGAAGACGGGUUGCUGGGCUGACACUGACGCUGAGGCGCGAAAGCUAGGGUAGCAAACGGG